GCGAACGCUGGCGGCAGGCCUCACACAUGCCAGUCGCACGGAUCCUUCGGGAUUAGUGGCGGACGGGUGAGUAACACGUGGGAACGUGCCCUUUGGUUCGGAACAACUCAGGGAAACUUGAGCUAAUACCGGAUGUGCCCUUCGGGGGAAAGAUUUAUCGCCAUUGGAGCGGCCCGCGUCUGAUUAGCUAGUUGGUGAGGUAACGGCCCACCAAGGCGACGAUCAGUAGCUGGUCUGAGAGGAUGAUCAGCCACACUGGGACUGAGACACGGCCCAGACUCCUACGGGAGGCAGCAGUGGGGAAUCUUGCGCAAUGGGCGAAAGCCUGACGCAGCCAUGCCGCGUGAAUGAUGAAGGUCUUAGGAUUGUAAAAUUCUUUCAGCGGGGACGAUAAUGACGGUACCCGCAGAAGAAGCUCCGGCUAACUUCGUG
rnacentral:rRNA from 1 species